rnacentral:tRNA from 1 species
AGGGUAAUAGUUCAGUGGUAGAGUGCAUGCUUAGCAUGCAUGAGGUCCUGGGUUCAAUCCCCAGUACCUCCC